rnacentral:rRNA from 1 species
CGUGUAGGCGGUUUGGUAAGUCAGAUGUGAAAGCUCCGGGCUUAACCCGGAAAGUGCGUCUGAAACUGCUAGACUUGAGUACGGGAGAGGAAGGUGGAAUUCCCAGUGUAGAGGUGAAAUUCGUAGAUAUUGGGAGGAACACCGGUGGCGAAGGCGACCUUCUGGACCGUCACUGACGCUGAGACGCGAAAGCGUGGGGAGCGAACAGGAUUAGAUACCCUGGUAGUCC